GACGAACGCUGGCGGCGUGCUUAACACAUGCAAGUCGAACGGUAAGGCCCUUCGGGGUACACGAGUGGCGAACGGGUGAGUAACACGUGGGUGAUCUGCCCUGCACUUCGGGAUAAGCCUGGGAAACUGGGUCUAAUACCGGAUAGGACCACUGCCUGCAUGGGUGGUGGUGGAAAGCUUUUGCGGUGUGGGAUGGGCCCGCGGCCUAUCAGCUUGUUGGUGGGGUGAUGGCCUACCAAGGCGACGACGGGUAGCCGGCCUGCGAGGGUGACCGGCCACACUGGGACUGAGAUACGGCCCAGACUCCUACGGGAGGCAGCGGUGGGGAAUAUUGCACAAUGGGCGCAAGCCUGAUGCAGCGACGCCGCGUGAGGGAUGACGGCCUUCGGGUUGUAAACCUCUUUCAGCACCGACGAAGCGCAAGUGACGGUAGGUGCAGAAGAAGGACCGGCCAACUACGUGCCAGCCGCCGCGGUAA
rnacentral:rRNA from 1 species